rnacentral:rRNA from 1 species
UUUAUUGGAGAGUUUGAUCCUGGCUCAGGACGAACGCUGGCGGCGUGCCUAAUACAUGCAAGUCGAGCGAGUCCCUUCGGGGGCUAGCGGCGGACGGGUGAGUAACACGUAGGCAACCUGCCCGUAAGCUCGGGAUAACAUGGGGAAACUCAUGCUAAUACCGGAUAGGGUCUUCUCUCGCAUGAG